UGGAAAGUCAAGUAAACCACGCUGAAGAAGGGUCCUCUGAGAACUGGAAGAUUGCAAGUUUGUGUUUUUUUUCCUCGCUAGAUUUUGCGGAACUCCAAGAACAGACAGAUUUGCUGCAAAUAUAAACCGAUAGUCUCUUAAAAAAUCAUAUGAACGACAAUGCCAUGCUUUGGUUAGGUUGUAAAUGCUUAAGAAAAUGUCAUUGAUGCAUCAAAGCAGCAGGUUUAUCAAGAACAAGUUUGUCAAUAAAAGAACAACAACAUCAUUUUAAGUGAUUCUUGCAUGAAGGUUAAAAGAGGAUGAAUUAAUUUGCAAUUAAAUUAUGAAUUCUGAUGAAUUUAGUGCAUCAUGAGUGUGUUUUCAUUAGUGAUGGCUGUAUACCGUAUCUUGAAAAGCUGAGACAAAUGAAAAUAAGAAACCCUUUCUCGGCAGUGCCAUGUUGGGGAAUCCUAAAGUCAGUAAACAUUUAUUACAGACAUACUUUGGGUAACUGCAUCCUAUUUUCUUGCGAAAAGGGUUAGCGAAGAUUGACACACGUCACUGUUUUAUCAGACAUUUUAGCUCUUGAAAUGAUUUAGAUACAUUUUAUGUGGAAGUUGUCACAACAUUUCUUUCGCCUGAUAUUUUUCCAAUAUAAUCUUAACUAAUCGAUUGUGAUGAUCAAUAAUGAUGGCAAAUAAUUGCACUAAUUGGAUAUUGAAUGCUGCCCGGCCACUGCUGCAAAAUUCAGUUCAUGACAUGCAAUAACAAGCUAUUAUGUCUCUCUCUCUCUCUCACUCACACACACACACACACACACACACACACACACACACACACACACACACACACACACACACACACAA